AGUGAACGCUGGCGGUAGGCCUAACACAUGCAAGUCGAACGGCAGCACAGUAAGAGCUUGCUCUUACGGGUGGCGAGUGGCGGACGGGUGAGGAAUACAUCGGAAUCUACUUUUUCGUGGGGGAUAACGUAGGGAAACUUACGCUAAUACCACAUACGACCUACGGGUGAAAGCAGGGGAUCUUCGGACCUUGCGCGAUUGAAUGAGCCGAUGUCGGAUUAGCUAGUUGGCGGGGUAAAGGCCCACCAAGGCGACGAUCCGUAGCUGGUCUGAGAGGAUGAUCAGCCACACUGGAACUGAGACACGGUCCAGACUCCUACGGGAGGCAGCAGUGGGGAAUAUUGGACAAUGGGCGCAAGCCUGAUCCAGCCAUACCGCGUGGGUGAAGAAGGCCUUCGGGUUGUAAAGCCCUUUUGUUGGGAAAGAAAAGCAGCAGGUUAAUACCCCGCUGUUCUGACGGUACCCAAAGAAUAAGCGCCGGCUAACUUCGUG
rnacentral:rRNA from 1 species